rnacentral:rRNA from 1 species
GAUGAACGCUGGCGGCGUGCCUAAUACAUGCAUGUCGAGCGAACGGACGAGAAGCUUGCUUCUCUGGUGUUAGCGGCGGACGGGUGAGUAACACGUGGAUAACCUACCUAUAAGACUGGGAUAACUUCGGGAAACCGGAGCUAAUACCGGAUAAUAUUUUGAACCGCAUGGUUCAACAGUGAAAGACGGUCUUGCUGUCACUUAUAGAUGGAUCCGCGCUGCAUUAGCUAGUUGGUAAGGUAACGGCUUACCAAGGCAACGAUGCAUAGCCGACCUGAGAGGGUGAUCGGCCACACUGGAACUGAGACACGGUCCAGACUCCUACGGGAGGCAGCAGUAGGGAAUCUUCCGCAAUGGGCGAAAGCCUGACGGAGCAACGCCGCGUGAGUGAUGAAGGUCUUCGGAUCGUAAAACUCUGUUAUUAGGGAAGAACAUAUGUGUAAGUAACUGUGCACAUCUUGACGGUACCUAAUCAGAAAGCCACGGCUAACUACGUG